GUGGCUGAUAGGGGUUCAAGUCCCCUCAAUUC
rnacentral:tRNA from 1 species